AUUUUGCCUUCCCCACCCUGCCACAGGCAAUGCUUUUCUCUCUCUCCUUUCCCUUUUUUAUCUCUUCUAUUACUCAGGGAGACCAUCUUGCCCAGAGACCACAUGUUGAAACUCCUGGUUGGAGGAUGGAUUAACGAUUAUGGGAGCAAGUUUGAGCCCUGCCAGUUUGAUAUUGGGUGCUAAGCAGAGUGGCUAAUGUAUAUGUUUUGUCACACGUAUUUUACUCUGGCCAGAAUGGAAAGAUAUAAUUUUUGUUUGUGUUGCAGCUUGGCCCCCAGGGCUGUGGUGCAGCCGUCUGGGUCACUAGGGCCACUCAGGGAAAGAAAACCCAGAAGCCUGGCAUGCUAGCAAAAGGGUCCAGAAGCCCCAAUUUAUCUUGGGACCACAAGAGGAGAGGAACUUACUCAACUCAUAGGUAUUUGAGGGUACAAACCCAUGGCUGGGCUCAGCUUUUAAAAAGUCUUAUCUAAGAUUCCUUCUAUGGAACAAAGUUCCUUCAAGGCCAGUUUACAAAGAGCUUAUGUGAAAAAAAUUAUUCUUGCUGCACUUUAUACAAAUAAUCAGGCCUAGUAUAAUAAAGCAAAUUGAUCUUAUCAUAAUUUUUCUCUAGUAAAAAUGGGAAACUGGCGAGAAAUAUGUUUCAAUGACUGUGGUACACUUGUUAUUAAAUUCUAGUCUCAUCAGUUGUUUUUAAAUUUGUUUCUGGAAUUUAGGGCUAACCUUGCUUGUUCCUGUGAACCAACAAGUGAUCUCUAACUGCUGCUCAGAAGAAACAAGAGGGAUGGGCUCCUCUGCUGCCAGUCUGCUGGAAUUUGCUGGGGGUCCACUCCCGACCCUGUUUGCCUAGGUAUCACCAGCGAAUGCUCAACUGGAAAUGCAGAAAUCACCCACCUUCUGUGCCAAUCUCGCUGGGAGCUGCAGACCGAAGCUGUUCCUAUUCAGCCAUCUUGCUAGCAAAUGCCUGAAUGUUUUCUUAAACUGAACACCUAUUGAUCUUCCAGAUAUCACCAAGAAUCAUGAAUGGCCCUCACCAUACUGAUGCGUUCUGACUGAGCUUCUCUCUACCCUGAACACAAGAGACCCUAAUAGGCAGGAAUGUCAUCACCCCUAUUCAGCCUGAAGAAGUUAUAGAAGAUGGAUCUUUUUCCCUCUGCAACCUUUAGGAUUAUGGGUUCUUUUAUAAAAAGAGAGGGGGGAAAUGUCAGAGGAGCGUGAACCAGAGCAACUCCAUCUUGAAUGGGAACUGGGUAAAAUGAGGCUGAGACCUAAUGGGCUGCAUUCCCAGAUGGUUAAGGCAUUCUAAGUCACAGGAUGAAAUAGGAGUCGGUGCAAGAUACAGGUCAUGAAGACCUUGCUGAUAAAAUAGGUUGCAGUAAAGAAGGUGGCCAAAACCCACCAAAACCAAGAUGACCACAAGAGUAUCCUCUGGUCAUCUUCUCUGCUACACUCUCACCAGAGCCAUGACAGUUGACAAAUGCCAUGGCAAUGUCAGGAAGUUUCCCUAUAUGGUCUAAAAAGGAGAGGCAUGAAUAAUCCACCCCUUGUUUAGCAUAUUAUCAAGAAAUAACCAUAAAAAUGGGCAACCAGCAGCCCUCGGGGCUUCUCUGUUUAUGGAGUAGCCAUUCUCGUAUCCUUCUACUUUCUUAAACUUUCUUUCACUUACAAAAAAAUAGUGGAACUCAGAAGUAGAGAAUAAAAUGGUGGUUACCAAGUUCUGGAGAGGUGGGGGAUUAGAAGAUGUUGUUCAAAGAAUACAAAAUUUCAGUUAGGCAGGAAGAAUGAGUUCCAAAGAUCUAUUGUACAAUACAGUGAUACAUACUUAAUGACAAUGUACUGUAUAUGUGAAAAUUGCUAAGAGCACAUUUUCGGUAUUCUCACCACAAAGAAAUGAUGUGAGGUAAUGCAUAUGUUAAACAGCUUGAUUUAGCCAUUCCACACAUAUACAUAUUUCAGAACAUCGUGUUGUAUCCCGUUAAAUAUGUACAAUUUUGUUUGUCAAAAAGUGAAAAGAGAAAAGAAGGUAAACUCUGUUAUUGCAUGCAGUGGUCCACAAAUAUCAUUUAUGUCAAACUGUUAAACAUUCUUGUUCAAAUUACCUAUAUCCUUAAAAAUUUGUUAACUAAACUGUUUUAUCAGUUACUGAAUUAUGUUUAAAUCAUUACUUAUGACUGCAAUUUUAUUCAUUUAUCCUUUUAUUUCUGUCAAAUUUUGUUUUACAUAUUUCAACUAUUGAUAGGGUUGAAUACAAAUUUAUAAAUAUGCCUUACAACUGAAUUGAUCCCUUUAUCAUUAAAAAUAUUCAUCUUUAUAUAAGGUAAUAUCUCUUGAUUCAAAGUAUAU
rnacentral:lncRNA from 1 species